rnacentral:rRNA from 1 species
UGGGGAAUAUUGCUCAAUGGGCGAAAGCCUGAAGCAGCGACGCCGCGUGAACGAAGAAGUCCUUCGGGAUGUAAAGUUCUUUCGACAGGGAAAAUAAUGAUGGUACCUGGAGAAGAAGGCCCGGCUAACUAUGUGCCAGCAGCCGCGGUAAUACAUAGGGGCCAAGCGUUAUCCGGAUUUAUUGGGCGUAAAGCGCGUGUAGGCGGUUGAUUAAGUCAGGUGUUAAAUUUGGAAGCUCAACUUCCAAUCGCAUUUGAAACUGGUCAGCUUCGAGUUUGGGAGAGGAUAGCGGAACUCACAGUGUAGCGGUGAAAUGCGUAGAUAUUGUGAGGAACACCAGUGGCGAAGGCGGCUAUCUGGAUCAAUACUGACGCUGAGACGCGAGAGCAUGGGGAGCAAACAGG